GUAAGGCCGGGCGGGUCCCCUCUCACUCCCAAGUCCUCGGAAACAAUCCUUACCCCGCGAGCCAAGACAGGCAGGGCUGUCCUGGGGAUCUCUUUGCCCUACAAGAGGGCUUCCUAAUACUGGGUGUGAGAGAAGAGGGCUUUCUCCUGGUGUGCCCAGGCCACUUCGGCCGGGAGAGGCCAGCGGAAGGCCAGACUUAAUGCUUUUACACGAACGAUCGUACCAGUCUUUUGCCAAAAGGAUGUUCUCUAUUUGGCGCAGUGUAAUUGUGUAUUUGAAAAUGUAAGUUUCUUGUUUUUGCCUAAGAACUGUUAAGCUCUCUGUAGGCGGAGUCCUUAAGCCCCUCGCUGUGCGGUCGCCCCUCCCCCUCCCAAGGAUGCACCUGCAGACUCUUCUACCCAACCAGCAAUAAAGUUUCCUGAAGACUGACUGGAAGAUGUUCUGGUGGCUCAGGAGGAGAACCUUUGAUACUUACGAGAAUCUGGUUCAGGACUGUAUCUUUAAUUCCGUUACCUUAGAUCAAGGGGGAGCAAACGGACCCAGCGUCAAGUGAACAGCUGCUGCUCCAUUGAGCUGAUUGUUCCAUUAUGAAAAUGUUAGCCCAAUACUGACACCUAUUUUGUUUUUUCUUUUUAAAGGAAAUCUGGGUUUGUUUGUUUUUUUACUGUAAAAUCUCCAGGUGUGGGCAACUGUAUCAGAUGUUUUAAAAGUGCAUAAGCUGAUUAAGCCAACACAAGCCCUGUCAGUUUGUAUGACCUCUGACUUGAAGGAAAGAGUGAAGAGAAGUUCCACGGCCAAAUCCUAGGCACCCCAGCAUUUAAGAUAGCGUAAUGGAGAAGGAGAUUUGAGAGGGAACAGCCAGGAAGACAGAAGGAAAUCCACUGAGUGUUAAAUUUGGAAUCCGAGGGCAGAGAAGGAUUCAGAAAUGGGUCCAGUGCCUUAUAAAGAAGCUUCAUAGAAAUCCCAGCCCCUGCCACCACAUGAGGACACAGCCAGAAGGCACCAGCUGUGAACCAAGAAAAGGGCCUUCACCAGAAUGUGACCAUGUUGGUGCUUUGACCUCAGAUUUUCCAGCCUCCAGAACUGUGAACAGUAAACAUCUGCUGUUUAUAAGCGCCCAGUUGGUGGUAUUUUGUUAUAGCAGCCUGAACAGACUAAGACAACUACUGUAUUUACACUGUAUCAACUAUCAUUACAACUAUACGACCUCUGAGGAAUCAAUUAGAAACCAGAAUGAGGUCCAGGUGGCCUUGCAGCCUGCUCUCUGCUCUCUGAAGACAAAGAUCCCAUGUG
ensembl:lncRNA